AAAAAUAAAGAUAAGCAGAACAAGUAACGAAAGUAUACUGAAGGGAAGUAGAUUCACGGUGGAAAAUUAUAAGGUGAGGUAGCGUUUUUUUAAGGAUAAAAAAAUGGAUCCUUUUAGUUUUUUUUUGUUUUUUUCAAGUUGGAUUUUGAGCGUGGUUUGUGGAAUUUGGAGUGUUGCCUUCAAUUUCAAGUGGGAUGUUUUAUGGAAUUUGGAGUGUUACCUUCAAUUUCAAGAAGCUGAUAUUCAUGGUUCGACUGUUGAAGAUAAUUCCGAAAAUAUAGUGGAACUUGCUACACAGUAUGCAAUAGCUGAUUUUUCUUUGACAAGAGUGUUC
rnacentral:lncRNA from 1 species